AUUGAACGCUGGCGGCAGGCUUAACACAUGCAAGUCGAACGAGUAGCGGACGGGUGAGUAAUGCUUGGGAAUCUAGCUUAUGGAGGGGGAUAAGUACGGGAAACUGUAGCUAAUACCGCGUACCAUAGGAUGAGCCCAAGUGGGAUUAGGUAGUUGGUGAGGUAAAGGCUCACCAAGCCGACGAUCUCUAGCUGGUCUGAGAGGAUGACAAGACACACUGGAACUGAGACACGGCACAAACUCCUACGGGAGGCAGAAGUGGGGAAUAUGGCGCAAUGGGGGCAACCUGACGCAGCCAUGCCGCGUGAAUGAAGAAGGCCUUCGGGUUGUAAAGUUCUUUCGGUAGCGAGGCGUUAACUACAGAAGAAGCACAAGCUAACGCCGUGCCAGCAACCGCGGUAAUAC
rnacentral:rRNA from 1 species